GAUUUAAAAUUGAAUGCAAAUAUUUAAAUUGUGCCUUUUUAUAUUUCAAGUUAGUUUGCGCGUCGGACACAAAGUAAACAAGUCGGAAAAUUAUUCGGAAACGAGUCAUUCAAAGGCGUAGCUACAGGAGCACUUUAAGAGUCUUUAAAGUACAAGGUCAGAUUUUUCGCAGCGGCUGAUAUCCGGCCAGUGAUUAUCCGGAGAAACUUUUGUCAGAACAAUUCGAGUGUGCAGGAUGCUGACCGAAAAAUUAUGAUUUCCGGAACCAUUCGAGGAUGCUGAUCAUGCUGAUUCGAAAAACAUCCCCGUGCUGGGAAUCAUCGGAUGCAACAACAAUAUCAGCCUGACGCUUUCCGAAUGGUUUUUAUGUUCAGUUUUGUAAAUAAAUGUGAAUUAAAAAUGA